rnacentral:miRNA from 1 species
ACUUAGGCACGUAAAUCUCUCGU